rnacentral:lncRNA from 1 species
CUGCCAUUUCUGUAAUUUGGUCCACGUGCACUUGUAGUUCCUUGGAAUGUUGCUCUUUUAAUUUCAUUAUUAUACUUGGAUCAUCCUUUUUGCUUGCCAUAAGCAACCUAAACAUCUGUUCUCUGUACUUGCUCAUUAUGAGUUCCAAAGCAGACUGAUGUUCUUCAAGAGAUGUGCGCAGUUCUUUAUUCUCCUGUUGUAAUUCCCUGAUCUGUCUGUUUUCUUGUUGGAUACCCAUCACCAAUGUAGAGCGAGGACGAUGUCUUGCUACUUCAUUGAGCUCCUGAAUUUCCUCUUGGUACUGCUUCAUUGCUUCAACCCGUUUAUUAAGAGCUGUAGUCUGUUCAAUAAGAGCUUCUGCAGCGUUGUCAUGUUCCCGCAGCCGUUCCACCAGCGCUUUAGCAUCUGCUAAGGCUUUCUCAAUUGUGCAACUCAUUUUCAUGACCGGCGGCUCCGGCAGCGCCCGGCGCCGGGUGACGCCCGGCUGCCCGCCCCGCUGUCAAAUGGCGGCGGAGGC